rnacentral:rRNA from 1 species
GACAGAGGUCCCAAGCGUUAGGCGGAAUCACUGGGCUUAGAGCGUGUGUAGGCGGAUUUGUAAGUACCUUGUGAAAUCCCACGGCUCAACCGUGGAACUGCUUGGUAUACUGCUUAUCUUGGGUCAUCUAGGGGCGAGCGGAACAAACGGUGGAGCGGUGAAAUGCGUAGAUAUCGUUUGGAACGCCAAUGGUGAAAACAGCUCGCUGGGGAUGUACCGACGCUGAGACACGAAAGCCAGGGGAGCGAACGGG